ACUACUUUAUCUCCCGCCUCUCCACUUCCUCUUUCUUCUUCCUCUGUACCAUGGCGGUGGUGAGACUGGGUUUGCUCUCUGCAAUUGCAUCCAUUGCUAAUCCAAGCAGGAAAAAAUGGACGGGUUGAAGCACCUGCAUCAUCAAAACUGUGUCAGAUCUCAAUGGAAAGCACAGUUUUGGCAAGAACACCUUGAAACUUUCUGAGGAGCGGUUGCAUUCCAAGAUGGGCUAAGCAAAUUCUGAAAAUGCCUAGGUUUUUAAUAACCUGGUAGCAGUGUAGGAAAGGGAUGAGAGUUCUGAAGAAGUAGGAACACAAUAUGGAUGUGUCCUCUCUCCUUCAAAAAUAAUGGAUGUUGAAGAUGAGUUUGAAAAGAAAAGGUUUCCCAGUUUCCUGCAGGAAAAGUUGAUGGAAGAGAGCAUUUUACCCAUAAUGCAUCUUUAGUCUCUUUUGGAAGAGAUGUGUGGAACCCAUUUGCAAAUAAAAUUAAUGUCUGAAUGAAUAUAACAGCUCUGUAUUGUCACAUUUAAGAGGUUUAAUCCUAAUAAAUAUAAAUGGUUGA